UCUAUUUUUUUUUUUUUGAAAAAUGCUAAUCUUUUAACAAAAAACAAAUACGGUAGUCUUCCUUUUUGAACCCAGUACUCUUCCUUCAACGAUUCUUCUUCUUCACCGCAAACCCUUCUUCUUCCUUUGGCUGAGCACCCUCGCUCCAUCCCCUCUUCCAUCGAUUGAACCCAGAAACUCUUCCAUCGUCAAUUACCCUCUCUCACAAACCCUUCUUCUCUUCCACCGUCACUCACGAACUCGUUGAAACCCUAAAUCGCACAAACUCUCCAUCAAUUGAACUCAGAACAAGUUCAAACCCUAAACAAAAAUCGAUUGAUGUCAGAGUUCACCAUGAUCCAUCAUUCCCGAGCUCGUUGAACUGUUAAUAAACCCAUAAACUCUUCAUUGUUCACCAUCGUUCAUUGCAAUUGAAACUCCUUCUACUCGGACGCUCCAAAAGUUGAUUUUUCUUGUCUAACUCUGUAAGUUUAACAUUUCUCAUUUAAUUUUUAACUGCAAAAUUUCCCCUGCUAGUUGUGUCUACAUGGAUGGGUUUCUUAUCUACUUGGUACGUACUUUGAUGUUUGUGUUUGGUAUUUUUAUUUUUACUAGACCUUGGAUUCUAGAUUGCUACAGUGGUAAUUUGUGUUUCAAGCAUUGAUCAUCCCUUAAUUUGUUUCUGUAUUGAUAUAUAAACAUUACUAAGGUUCAUUGAUUGGAAGUGAAGAAUAUACUCUUGUUUAUGAGAAUAAUGAAAGAGACAAGAUGCUUGUAGGGGACCUGCCGUGGUGGACAUUUUCUCAUGGGGAAAACUUGCCAUUCUCAAGCAUGGUUUAUCUAUUUAUGGGUUCCAAAUGUCAUUGUUGCUAAGAAGUAAGAAAACAGAAAAUUCACCUCAAGCAUUAGUGAAAGAAGCAAUUGUUGAUGAGAGAUUUGAGAAAACUUGAUUUGGAUAUAGAGGAACAAUGUAAGGGAAUCAUCAUAUAGGUACCAUUACAAUAUUACUGAUAUGCAAUUGUCCCAACAGACUGCGAAGAUGGGAUAUUUAUCAGCAGUGUAGCUUGUUGUUCUACUAAAAUUUGGCCAAUGGAUUCAGUGGACAAGUUUAUGAACUCUCAUCCUUCUUUCUUGACAUGGGUGUGUUUUUUAUUUUGUUCAAGAUUUAGUAAUUGUAUUAUUUUCUUGGUUAUGUGUGUGUUUUAGAAUGGCAAUUAGUUAGUAGUUAGUUACUUACUCUCUAUAUAAGUGAUACUACCCCUUAGUUAGUUUGUAAAUUUGUUCUUGUAUAAUUUGAGUCAGGCAAAAUAACUUACUUUUGGAUA